UGCUAGGGGCAUUGUUCGAUUAUUACUCGAACAGAGAGCACAUGAACACCACAUACAUACAUCGAAGAAAAGGAUUAACCUAACAACAGGCCUAAAAAUGGGCGAACAGCUGGGGAAAUAUUGACAUAUAUAAGCAUCAAACGUUCACUGUUGAUUGAAGUACUUCAGGAGAUUUGUAAUUAUCGAGAAGAUUUGUAAUUUCGAACUUAAUAAGGUGCUUCGAGCAAGAUCAGGGAUAAAAACUAAAAAUAGAGUCGGUCCCAAGCAGGAUCCCUGUGUGAUUACGUGGGUCACAGGUAAGACUUGAAGAUUAGAACUACUAUGGCGAUUUUCAAUGAAGAUGGAAAUAUUCCCAACUGAAGUGAACUGUUGAAAAAACUUUGUCAGACAUGGAGCUAUAAUAUCAGCAACAUAGUUGAGAAAACGGCUCGGGAUGUUGUCGGCCCCAACUGCCUUACCAUCCUUAAGACUUGUGAUUUCAACUGUUAAUUCAUUCACCGUUGCGGAAUUCAGAAAUAUGGAAUGAUUUAUCCGCUUGUCAAGAUGCUUUCUAAAGCCCUCCAUGUCAUUGGGAAUUGUUCAGAAAGAUUGGAACCGACAGUGGAA